CAAAUUAUUCAAUGGAAACAUUUUCCGAAAUAGUGACAAAAAAUAUCAAUGCUAGGUACUAUGUAUUUAGUAAUUGGAAUGAAGUACAAUUUAAAUCCUUAACAAGUAACAAUUAGAGGGCAAGUCUGGUGCCAGCAGCCGCGGUAAUUCCAGCUCUAAUAGCGUAUAUUAAUAUUGUUGCAGUUAAAAAGCUCGUAGUUGAAAUUUGGGACUUUAUUGUAUUGGUUUAUCUUUUGAUGAACUGUAUGAUGGGUUUCUUCCUACUAGAGUUCGAUUCUGUUCUUAACUGAAUGGAGUAGCUAUCUUUCGGGGUGGUCAAUUGGUUGUUACAUCUCCACUAAUGAGCAGAGAGGGGUUAAAACCUUCAAAGUGAGUUAUGUGGGUCAAGGUAUGAUGAUUAAUUGGAGUUCUAGUUCAUUUACUUUGAGAAAAUUAGAGUGUUUAAAAGCAGCCUCUUGGGGCACUGAAUACAUUAGCAUGGGAUAAUAAAAUAGGAUCUUCACAAUAUAUUUUAUUGGUUUAAAUUGGAUAUGAAG
rnacentral:rRNA from 1 species